rnacentral:lncRNA from 1 species
CAAAAGUGCUGCGUGGCCAUUGUUUCUGACAGUUCAUUUAUGCAGAUGAAACAAUCCAUUCAUUUGGUGAAUCCAUGGAAUUAAUGGCUUCCACUUUGUACUUUCUGAAAAAUAUACAGCGUUUCAGGCCUCUGGAUUUACAUUCUACAGAGUUUCUGGUAUAAUGGAAUAGUUUCAGGUCCCUGGAGGGCAGGUAUAUGGCUCUGCAAGAGUGUUGAUGGCUUUCCUAACACACAGGCGUGUGCAUUUCUAAAUGUUCUCACUUGGGGCAGAUUUUUAAACAGCCCUUUGACACAGUGUGGGAGAAAUGCUUCUCAGUGACCAUUUCUGAGGAAAGUUGCUUAGAGACUUGGGCCCUAGUGCUGAAAUGUGACCAAGUCAUCUUCUCCUUCAGGCAAGAGGCUUCUAAACUGAGAGAGCAGCAACAUUUCAGGACUUCUUGGGUGGAAGAAAGUUGGCAGAGAGAACGUCCACAACUGCCUCUCACAUUUCUCCAGGGAGAGGAUGUGUGAAAAGCAUGGGGGAAAAGAGCAGAACAUGCAGCCUGACCUUAUAGGAAGAGAAAAAUAACAACAUUCUGAAAGUUCAAACUGGGAAGACAACAGACUACAUUGCGUUGGUCCAACUCUUUACCUCUAGUCAUGGGAGUAGCUAAACCAACCACAGGUUGCUGACACUCAACUAAUCAGAUUAUAAGAGUUUGCUUCAGGUAUGCUGUCAAAUGUUCUUGAGGGUAUGUAUUCCUCCUCACGAUGGAUUCAGAGAGGUUUUGAUCCAGGAGGACCAUUAUUUAUUGUCUGAGUUAAAGGCAGGGAUGUUGGGCUAUAAAAAUCACACAUGGUAUGCACAAAGCGGCAAACUGCAAUGAUCUAAAAUAUCCCCUACUGUACUUAUUCAUUCUAUCUAAUAAACAUCCAGAAUUCCAGAUAAAU